rnacentral:rRNA from 1 species
AACGAACGCUGGCGGCAUGCCUAACACAUGCAAGUCGAACGAGACCUUCGGGUCUAGUGGCGCACGGGUGCGUAACGCGUGGGAACCUGCCCUUAGGUUCGGAAUAACUCCCCGAAAGGGGUGCUAAUACCGGAUAAUCUCUUCGGACCAAAGAUUUAUCGCCUUUGGUUGGGCCCGCGUUGGAUUAGCCAGUUGGUAGGGUAAAAGCGUCCUAAGGCGCCGAUCCAUAGGUGGUGGGGGAGGAUGAUCUGCCAACCUGGGAUUGGGACCCGGCCCAGACGCCUCGGGGGGGCGGCGGGGGGGACAAUGGGACAGGGGGCAAAAGCCUGAUCCGCCACGGCCGGGGGGGUUAUGAAGGCCUUGGGGUUGUAAAGCUCUUUUACCCGGGAUGAAAAGACCGGAACCGGGAAAAAAGGCCCCGCCUACCUCCGG